UAUAUUUUAAUGUAAGAGGCAUGAAAGAUUUUGAUUCUUUAAGGAAUAGUUUAAUUCUAUUAAAUAUAA
rnacentral:tRNA from 1 species